rnacentral:tRNA from 1 species
GCUCAGUUGGUUACAUGCCCAACUCUUGAUUUCAACUCAGGUCAUGAUCUCCAGGUCGUGGGUUUGAACCCCACAUUGGGCU